UACGGAGGGUGCAAGCGUUGUCCGGAUUUAUUGGGUUUAAAGGGUGCGUAGGCGGCCCGUUAAGUCAGCGGUGAAAUCCCAGGGCUCAACCCCGGAACUGCCGUUGAUACUGGCGGGCUUGAGUUCGGUCGAGGCGGGCGGAACUGGCGGUGUAGCGGUGAAAUGCUUAGAUACCGCCAAGAACCCCGAUUGCGUAGGCAGCUCGCUUGGCCGAAACUGACGCUGAGGCACGAAAGCGUGGGGAGCGAACAGG
rnacentral:rRNA from 1 species